rnacentral:sRNA from 1 species
AAAGGGGACGCGGUCAGAGUGGCAGCUCGCGGGGUGGCCCCCGCUCCGGCUCCGCCCCAUUUCACGCACCUCGCCCCUCCCCAUGCUUCAUCCCGCAGCCCCGGGGCCGCGCCGCAGAGUCGGGCUUCCUGGAUACAUAGAGGCUUGUGCCAGGCCGGGUGGGAAGACUGGAUUUUGCAGUGGAAGCAGCAUCUCUUCCGUCUGGGACCUGGCUGAGGGCGUCCCCACCCUGGGGGGAGCAGAGGACCAGCCCUGACCUAGCCGGGCCCAGCCUCGUCCUGCCCGGCCUGAGCGCCCCGCCCAGCAGCCGGCCCUGGCCCACCGGGGUCCGGGAGGCUGCACGAAGAGGAGAAAACGGGCACAAGGAUCUGCCAGAAACUCAAGCAGUCCAGCUCGCCCUCUCCACCCGAGGAGCCCCCGGCCCCAAGUUCAACCUCUGUGGAAAAAAUGUUUGGAGGCAAGAUAGUGACUCGGAUCUGCUGUCUCUGCUGCCUCAACGUCUCCUCCCGGGAGGAGGCCUUCACGGACCUCUCUCUCGCCUUUCCUCCCCCUGAGCGCUGUCGCCGCCGCCGCCUGGGCUCUGUGAUGCGCCCCACAGAAGACAUCACAGCCCGGGAGUUGCCCCCACCAAGCAGUGCACAGGGGCCAGGCAGGGUGGGUCCUCGGAGGCAAAGGAAACACUGCAUCACAGAGGACACCCCCCCCACCAGCCUGUACAUCGAAGGCCUGGACUCCAAGGAAGCUGGUGGGCAGAGCAGUCAGGAGGAAAGGGUAGAGAGGCAGGAAGAAGGGAAGGAGGAGAGAACGGAGAAGGAAGAAGUGGGGGAGGAGGAGGAAAGCACCAGAGGGGAAGAAGAGAGGGAGAAAGAGGAGGUGGAAGAGGAAGAAGAGAAGGUGGAGAAGGAGACAGAAAAGGAGGCUGAGCAGGAAAAGGAAGAAGACAGCCUGGGAGCGGGGACCCACCCGGAUGCUGCCAUCCCCUCCGGGGAGCGGACAUGUGGCUCUGAGGGCUCCCGCUCCGUCCUGGACCUGGUUAACUACUUCCUGUCCCCCGAGAAGCUGACAGCAGAAAACCGCUACUACUGCGAGUCGUGUGCCUCCCUGCAGGAUGCCGAGAAGGUGGUGGAGCUGAGCCAAGGGCCGCGCUACCUCAUCCUCACACUGCUGCGCUUCUCCUUCGACCUGCGCACCAUGCGGCGCCGCAAGAUCCUGGAUGACGUCUCCAUCCCCCUGCUGCUCCGCCUGCCACUGGCUGGUGGCCGUGGCCAGGCCUAUGACCUCUGCAGUGUGGUGGUGCACUCUGGAGUGUCUUCGGAGAGUGGUCACUACUACUGCUAUGCCCGUGAGGGCGCUGCCCGCCCUGCCCCUUCUCUGGGAACUACCGAUAGGCCAGAGCCCGAGAACCAGUGGUACCUGUUCAAUGACACUCGGGUGUCCUUCUCUUCCUUCGAAUCUGUCAGCAACGUCACUUCCUUCUUCCCUAAGGACACAGCCUAUGUGCUGUUUUACCGGCAGCGGCCCAGGGAGGGGCCCGAGGCUGAGUCGGGCUCUUCUAGAGUCCGGACAGAGCCCACCCUGCACAAGGACUUGAUGGAAGCCAUUUCCAAAGACAACAUCCUUUACCUACAGGAGCAGGAGAAGGAGGCCCGGAGCAGAGCGGCCUACAUCUCUGCACUCCCCACAUCUCCGCACUGGGGGAGGGGCUUUGAUGAAGACAAGGAUGAGGAUGAAGGCUCUCCAGGGGGCUGCAAUCCUGCAGGUGGCAAUGGUGGUGACUUCCACAGACUGGUCUUCUAAUGUGAACCUGCUGCCAACCUGACCCCUUCCCUCCAGGAGCCAGGUAGGGCCUGAGGGAAGCUGUGGAGGCAGGCCCUACCAAGAGGAAGGAUGGUACAGCUCAUGGCACCUUAGUCCUCAGCCUGAUGAAGGGUACACAGAGAUUCUCUCAGAUAUGGAAGUAAGAAAGACCUAAGUCCCUUUCAUUGGGGAUCAGUCCCAUUAAAACUUUACACCCAAGUGUCCUGGUUAACUUGAAGCAGCUGAGAUGGGCACACACGGGUCUUUGCCUCCCCCUCCUUCCCUAGCAGGCUCCCCAUGCGGGAAGAUCUGAUGAUGUUCAGGAAACA